rnacentral:rRNA from 1 species
UACAGAGGUCCCAAGCGUUGUCCGGAAUCACUGGGCGUAAAGGGCGCGUAGGCGGGAUGGCAAGUCAGUCGUGAAAUCUCUCGGCUCAACCGAGAAACGUCGGCUGAUACUGCCGUUCUUGAGGGAUGCAGAGGAGACUGGAAUUCCCGGUGUAGCGGUGAAAUGUGUAGAGAUCGGGAGGAACACCGGUGGCGAAGGCGGGUCUCUGGGCAUCUCCUGACGCUGAGGCGCGAAAGCGUGGGGAGCAAACGGG